UCAUACAGCUGAGCAGGGUAGUAAGAGUCUUAGAGGGUUAGUUAGUAUGUAGGCUCUUUGAGCUAUUAGGUAGGGAAUCCAGCAAAAGGGCUUUCCCUUUUUCAUUCUCAAGCUUCCUGUGAGUUUUCUGUGUAGCGCUGACCCAGAAUUAGGAAUUCUCUCUGUCUCUCCUUUCAUUCCUCCAAGUCCUCUGAUCCUCCCUGAAGAGACUACAAUCUGCUGCUGUACAGUCUUAUGAUCCUGGGGGGGGAACUACUAGGAACUGAAUGGCUGUGGGGAUUAGUAAUGGGACCCUAAGCCUUGUUUCUUUGGUUUGCUGGUCUAAGUUAUGUCCCAGUAUUUUCUCUUUACUGGAACCACUGCUUAGCUGAAGCAACAAGAUGUCCACCCCAGCAGCUCCAUCUACAAGCACUGUCCUAUGCAGGUUUACAAGCAGAGUUGGGAGACAGUCAGAGAUCUCGCUUGUGCUGGUUCAUCGGUUCCUCUUCCAAGCUGGCUACGGCACAAAGCGGAUUCAGAUAUUGAAUUCCACGGUGGUGGAGGAAAGCUAGUCCAGAGAAGAGGUUCUCUACCUCCUAUUUGGAGAGGGGGGAGGGGGACACGCAGAGCUGGACUUCUUAUUGGAGAAACAAAAUGGGCAUAUGAGAGCUGACGUGACCACUAGCAAAGGCCCCAAAUUGUGUGUUUGUCACAUUGGGCUUUUAGUCAAUGUAUCCCCCCAAAAUCAUGCUGCCUAUCUGCUUUUGUUCAAGUCAAAAGGAACCAAUGGACAAGCAAACUCUUAGCAAGACCUUAUUGUUGGAUGGGACCUCCAUGAGAUUUUGCCAGAUAUGCAGCUGUCAGAAGGUACUGUGAAUAGAGGCUGGGCAGUAUGUUUCCUUUGUCUUGCUUACCGUAGCAGUCUUGGACUGAUCAAUCCAAGGUAUUUCACUCAACUGGAGUCUAAAGCUGAUGCUGACCCUUUUUAAAAUUGCCUUUCUGUCUGAAUCUUUUCCUACUAUUGUUACGAGAAACACCUGUGACGAAAGGAGAGGUAUUCCUUUAAGUUGGUGCAUUUGACAGUACUUCAGGGGUAGCCAGUUCUAGAAUGUCCCUUGCCUAAUCACUAAGCUCGUCAUUUCCUCCGUUUGGGUAAGUAACAGGGGACAGAACACUUCAAAAAAGAACAAAUGCCAUAGUUGAAACUAAAAGAUUGUACCGGAAACUUCUUUCUGCAAUGAAGUUUCAAGCUGACAUUCUCCCUCUGAUAUCUGGAACCUGGGCCUUAGAUUUCUCAUAGCCUGUUCUGCAGCAGUGGAAGGACAAGAGGUUAAAACUCAAGCCUCAAAACAGUGUAUCGUGCUGUUAGGAAGAGUGACUCAGUUCUCCAGGGAAAGCGCUCUUUGAAAAUUAAAGGCAACAAGAAAAGGCCAAAUACAGUGGAACUUUGAUGUUUAACUCCUACUGCUUCCUAUUUGUCCUGGUUGGUAAUGGAAUUUACUGUGG